rnacentral:rRNA from 1 species
AUCCUACGGGAGGCAGCAGUGAGGAAUAUUGGUCAAUGGGCGAGAGCCUGAACCAGCCAAGUCGCGUGAGGGAAGACGGUCCUAUGGAUUGUAAACCUCUUUUGCCGGGGAGCAAAAAGCGGUACGUGUACCGCAUCGAGAGUACCCGGAGAAAAAGCAUCGGCUAACUACGUGCCAGCAGCCGCGGUAAUACGUAGGGAGCGAGCGUUGUCCGGAUUUACUGGGUGUAAAGGGUGCGUAGGCGGCUUGGCAAGUCAGUAGUGAAAUCCAUGGGCUUAACCCAUGAACUGCUAUUGAAACUGUCG